rnacentral:tRNA from 1 species
GCCGAAAUAGCUCAGUUGGGAGAGCGUCAGACUGAAGAUCUGAAGUUCUCGGUUCAAUCCUGGGUUUCGGCA